rnacentral:rRNA from 1 species
AUGGCGGGCUACCGCAGCGCCUCCUCCUCCUCCGCGGCCGGCGCCGGAGGGGCGGCGGUGUUCGCGAUGCGCGUGCUCCUCCUCCUCACGCUGCUGCCGCUCGCGCUCGCCGCGUUCGCCUUCGCGCUCCAGUGGCGCGGCGGCAUGCGCGACCCCACCGGCACCGUGUGGCCCGCCGACACGCAGCGGUUCCCCGGCAUGGAGAACAGCCCACUGGGCUCCUCCUCAUCCUCCACGGGAGGCCGAGGCUCCUACUUCGCCGUAUCAUCCGCGUCGGCCUCCUCCGCGGCCGUCGACUGCGCCGAGAUCCUCGGCCGGAGCGCCUCCUCCCACGGAAUCUCUCUCUACCGAGGCUGGAGCUUCGACACCGACACCGCUAUAACCCCCAAGAUCUGUAUAACGGGAAGCACAUCUGCUAGCUUACACCAAAUUCUUCCAUGGUUGUAUUAUCACAAGGUCAUUGGUGUUUCACACUUUAUUCUAUUUGUUGAAGGAGAGGCUGCUAAACCAGCUGUUACUUCUGUUCUCGAAUCUAUCCGGGGUGUAAAAAUUAUUUACAGAACUAAAGAACUAAAAGAACAACAGGACAGAAGCCGCAUUUGGAAUGAAACUUGGCUUUCAGGUUUCUUUUACAAGCCAUGCAAUUAUGAGCUUUUUGUUAAGCAGUCACUUAACAUGGAAAUGGCUAUUGUUAUGGCAAGGGAGGCUGGAAUGGAUUGGAUCAUACAUCUUGAUACCGACGAGUUAAUUCAUCCAGCGGGUGCCAGGGAGUACUCUCUUAGGCGGCUGCUUUUGGAUGUUCCUGAUAAUGUUGACAUGGUUAUCUUCCCCAACUAUGAGAGCAGCGUUGAGCGGGAUGACAUUAAAGAUCCUUUUACUGAGGUUUCCAUGUUUAAGAAGAACUACGAUCAUCUUCCGAAGGAUACAUACUUUGGCCUAUACAAAGAGGCCACGCGGGGUAAUCCAAACUACUUCCUCACUUAUGGUAAUGGGAAAUCAGCGGCAAGGGUCCAGGAGCAUAUGCGUCCGAAUGGUGCUCAUAGAUGGCAUAAUUACAUGAAAUCCCCGAAUGAAAUUAAGUUGGAGGAGGCUGCUAUUCUGCAUUACACUUACACAAAGUUCUCGGACUUAACUUCAAGAAGGGAUAGGUGUGGCUGUAAGCCAACAAAGGAGGAUGUGAAACGAUGUUUUAUCUUGGAGUUUGACAGAUUGGCCUUCAUAAUUGCAUCAACAGCUACCGAGCAAGAGAUGAGGAACUGGUACCGGGAACAUGUUGUAUGGACUGACAAAGAUACAAAUUUGAAGCUUUUGAGGAAGGGCGUUUUAACACGCAUAUAUGCACCAAUGGCUAUUAUUCGUGGUCUCAAGGAAUCUGGCAUCUUCAUCGAUGCAGUAACUUCUGCAAAAGCACACCCUAAAGCAAACAUUGGUCUUGAAAACAAUGAGUCUAUCCACACCAAAGUAACAGCCUCGCAGACCACAACCUUGAAAGAAGGCGGUAAUGACAAUUCUCAAGCAACUGCAAGAAAGAUUCUGGAAAUGAUUGAUGUCCAGGAAGAAGCGAUGCCGCCAAUGUCACCCCCUGGUUUCCUUGAGCUCAUGGAAAGCGCAUUGUCAUGA